GAUAUGAUUAUUAUCACUAUUAAUAAAUUUAAACCACUUCCUUGACAACCACUUCCUUGACAACUUCCUCGACAACCACUUCCUCGACAACCACUUCCUCGACUACUGCUGCUACAGUUAAUGAUUUGUCAUACCAGGCUUUUUUAGUAUACCGGAGAGAACACAAUGGACCCACAUCCCAUAGGGCUUAUGGGGUGUGGGUCCGAAACGGUGGCCGCGACUACCCCUAU